rnacentral:rRNA from 1 species
AUGCGGAUGCGGGAUACGCCGUCCACUCACCGGUCACCACCGGCCGGGUCACAUGCGCAUCGGCGGCAUCGCGCACCACGUGGGGACGACCCCAUGCAUAUGCCCUCGCAUAGCGAUAAAGAAAGCUCACGGCGACGAGGAGGAUGCCAAAGCUACUGCUCACUUCCUUGCGGCUUGAGAGGUCAACACAGACAACACUGGCAUCAUCAUUGUUCAUAUACACUCCACAAAAAGAAGGCCCUGCUUCUUGGCAAUCAUGCUUGGUCUCCUCGUCGCCGCCGCGAGCUUCGAAACACAAUCCGGGGCUUCUGUUCGAGACCGGGUGAUGGAUCCUUGCUUUCUCUCUGCGUGAACUUGCAUUGCCUUUCCUAUCGUUUUUUCAUCUGGAAAAAACACUUCUGCUCUUCUCCACUGGCCCUCUGA